UUAAGUUAAUAAGGGCGCACGGUGGAUGCCUUGGCACUAGGAGCCGACGAAGGACGUGACAAACGACGAUAUGCCUUGGGUAGCUGUAAGUAAGCGAUGAUCCAGGGAUUUCCGAAUGGGGGAACCCAACAGGUAAUACCUGUUACCUACAUCUGUUAAGGAUGUGAGGAGGAAGACGCAGUGAACUGAAACAUCUAAGUAGCUGCAGGAAGAGAAAGCAAAAGCGAUUGCCUUAGUAGCGGCGAGCGAAACGGCAGAAGGGCAAACCGAAGAGUUUACUCUUCGGGGUUGUAGGACUGCAAUGUGGACUCAAAGAUUAUAGAAGAAUGAUUUGGGAAGAUCAGCCAAAGAGAGUAAUAGCCUCGUAUUUAAAAUAGUCUUUGUACUUAGCAGUAUCCUGAGUACGGCGGGACACGUGAAAUCCCGUCGGAAUCUGGGAGGACCAUCUCCCAACCCUAAAUACUCCCUAGUGACCGAUAGUGAACCAGUACCGUGAGGGAAAGGUGAAAAGCACCCCGGGAGGGGAGUGAAAUAGAACCUGAAACCGUGUGCCUACAACAAGUUCGAGCCCGUUAAUGGGUGAGAGCGUGCCUUUUGUAGAAUGAACCGGCGAGUUACGUUAUGAUGCGAGGUUAAGUUGAAGAGACGGAGCCGUAGGGAAACCGAGUCUGAAUAGGGCGCCUUAGUAUCAUGACGUAGACCCGACACCAUGUGACCUACCCAUGAGCAGGUUGAAGGUGCGGUAAGACGCACUGGAGGACCGAACCAGGGCACGUUGAAAAGUGCUUGGAUGACUUGUGGGUAGCGGAGAAAUUCCAAACGAACUUGGAGAUAGCUGGUUCUCUCCGAAAUAGCUUUAGGGCUAGCGUCGACAUUAGAGAUUCUUGGAGGUAGAGCACUGUUUGGGUGAGGGGUCCAUCCCGGAUUACCAAUCUCAGAUAAACUCCGAAUGCCAAUGAAUUAUGGUCGGCAGUCAGACUGCGAGUGCUAAGAUCCGUAGUCGAAAGGGAAACAGCCCAGACCACCAGCUAAGGUCCCAAAAUAAUUGUUAAGUGGAAAAGGAUGUGGGGUUGCACAGACAACUAGGAUGUUAGCUUAGAAGCAGCUAUUCAUUCAAAGAGUGCGUAAUAGCUCACUAGUCGAGUGACCCUGCGCCGAAAAUGUACCGGGGCUAAAACAAUUUACCGAAGCUGUGGAUACCUUUAUAGGUAUGGUAGGAGAGCGUUCUAUGUGUGAUGAAGGUAUACCGUGAGGAGUGCUGGAACGCAUAGAAGUGAGAAUGCCGGUAUGAGUAGCGAAAGACAGGUGAGAAUCCUGUCCACCGUAAGACUAAGGUUUCCAGGGGAAGGCUCGUCCGCCCUGGGUUAGUCGGGACCUAAGGAGAGACCGAAAGGUGUAUCCGAUGGACAACAGGUUGAUAUUCCUGUACUAGAGUAUGUAGUGAUGGAGGGACGCAGUAGGCUAACUAAAGCAGACGAUUGGAAGAGUCUGUCUAAGCAGUGAGGUGUGAAUUGAGUCAAAUGCUUAAUUCUAUAACAUUGAGCUGUGAUGGGGAGCGAAGUUUAGUAGCGAAGUUAGUGACGUCACACUGCCAAGAAAAGCUUCUAGCGUUUAAACAUACUCUACCCGUACCGCAAACCGACACAGGUAGUCGAGGCGAGUAGCCUCAGGUGAGCGAGAGAACUCUCGUUAAGGAACUCGGCAAAAUGACCCCGUAACUUCGGGAGAAGGGGUGCUGACUUAAAGUCAGCCGCAGUGAAUAGGCCCAAGCAACUGUUUAUCAAAAACACAGCUCUCUGCUAAAUCGUAAGAUGAUGUAUAGGGGGUGACGCCUGCCCGGUGCUGGAAGGUUAAGAGGAGUGCUUAGCGUAAGCGAAGGUAUGAAUUGAAGCCCCAGUAAACGGCGGCCGUAACUAUAACGGUCCUAAGGUAGCGAAAUUCCUUGUCGGGUAAGUUCCGACCCGCACGAAAGGCGUAAUGAUUUGGGCACUGUCUCAACGAGAGACUCGGUGAAAUUUUAGUACCUGUGAAGAUGCAGGUUACCCGCGACAGGACGGAAAGACCCCAUGGAGCUUUACUGCAGUUUGAUAUUGAGUGUCUGUACCACAUGUACAGGAUAGGUAGGAGUCUAAGAGAUCGGGACGCCAGUUUCGAAGGAGACGCUGUUGGGAUACUACCCUUGUGUUAUGGCCACUCUAACCCAGAUAGGUGAUCCCUAUCGGAGACAGUGUCUGACGGGCAGUUUGACUGGGGCGGUCGCCUCCUAAAAGGUAACGGAGGCGCCCAAAGGUUCCCUCAGAAUGGUUGGAAAUCAUUCGCAGAGUGUAAAGGUAUAAGGGAGCUUGACUGCGAGAGCUACAACUCGAGCAGGGACGAAAGUCGGGCUUAGUGAUCCGGUGGUUCCGUAUGGAAGGGCCAUCGCUCAACGGAUAAAAGCUACCCUGGGGAUAACAGGCUUAUCUCCCCCAAGAGUUCACAUCGACGGGGAGGUUUGGCACCUCGAUGUCGGCUCGUCGCAUCCUGGGGCUGUAGUCGGUCCCAAGGGUUGGGCUGUUCGCCCAUUAAAGCGGCACGCGAGCUGGGUUCAGAACGUCGUGAGACAGUUCGGUCCCUAUCCGUCGCGGGCGUAGGAAAUUUGAGAGGAUCUGCUCCUAGUACGAGAGGACCAGAGUGGACUUACCGCUGGUGUACCAGUUGUCUUGCCAAAGGCAUCGCUGGGUAGCUAUGUAGGGAAGGGAUAAACGCUGAAAGCAUCUAAGUGUGAAACCCACCUCAAGAUGAGAUUUCCCAUGAUUAUAUAUCAGUAAGAGCCCUGAGAGAUGAUCAGGUAGAUAGGUUAGAAGUGGAAGUGUGGCGACACAUGUAGCGGACUAAUACUAAUAGCUCGAGGACUUAUCCAA
rnacentral:rRNA from 1 species